rnacentral:lncRNA from 1 species
CGCUCAACUCUGCUCACAUCCUCUGAAUGGGACACGUUUGAAUACAGACAAAAGCCUCUCAUUUUAAUAUGUGUCCGCAGUGGUUCUGUGUAGCCUAGUUAUGCUAUUAUAUUUGAGACCAGUGUAUUGCAGUGAAUUUCAUCUGACUUAAUAAGUAAAAUAUCUUUGCGUAGUAAACAGAGUAACAAUGAGUCCCAGGCAGUUCGCAAUACCAGAGGGGGGCAUCGUUUACUAGGCUACCUAAAUUAUUGGGAUCAUCUGGGUUACCACCAGUGUUUGGAAUACAUUGAGCUCGUCAACAAAACAGACCAUGGGACGCCUACCGAGAAGAUCCUGAAAAAAAAUAUCAACUGGCCCAAAUCAGCUCUACAUAAUUCAGCAGGGAGGUGUGCAACUACCACACAUUAUACAGUGGAGAAACUACAUCACCUACGAAGUGGCCUUCAAAAUUCAACAUUAGCCAUGGUGACAAUCCAGGAUGACUUCUGCCGUGCUCAAAACAACUGGAAACUCGGAACUGGGAAAUCAGACUUCAGUGAGUUCAAGACAUCUGGGACCUCUGAAAAAAAGAGCUCCGACUGGGAAAAUACGUUUUGAACGGUCAUCUGACUCGGAAUUGCAAGUCGGGAACUCUUGCCUCUUUCUAGAGCUCUGACCUGAAGAUCACUUAUGUCAUCAUGAUUCAACAUAGUUUUUUUCCGAGUUCCUAGUUGUCUUGAAAGCGCCAUAAAUCCAGAGAAUGCCAGACUUUGAUGACCAGUAGUUCAUUGUUCAGGGAAAAGUUAUAGGGAAAAUGGUGACCUAGAACUUUUAAGUGUGUGCCCUCAGGCCACUACUCUACUAUCACAUAUCUACAACACAUAAUCCAUGUGUAUUUUUGUGUCUG